CCUACGGGUGGCAGCAGUAGGGAAUAUUGCUCAAUGGGGGAAACCCUGAAGCAGCAACGCCGCGUGGAGGAUGAAGGUUUUAUGAUUGUAAACUCCUUUUGUGAGAGAAGAUAAUGACGGUAUCUCCCGACUAAGCACCGGCUAACUCCGUGCCAGCCGCCGCGGUCAUACGGAGGGUGCAAGCGUUCCUCGGAAUCACUGGGCGUAAAGAGUGCGCAGGCGGGCUUGUAAGGCAGAUGGGAAAUCCUGUGGCUUAACUACAGAACUGCAUUUGAAACUAUGGGUCUAGAGUGUGGGAGAGGUAGGUGGAAUGCUUGGUGUAGGGGUAAAAUCCGUAGAUAUCAAGAGGAAUACUCAUUGCGAAGGCGACCUACUGGAACAUAACUGACGCUCAUGCACGAAAGCGUGGGGAGCGAACAGGAUUAGAUACCCGGGUAGUC
rnacentral:rRNA from 1 species